AAAGCUUUUCACAGUGAUGUGAAUGUUCCCAGGACAGUCGGAAAGGAUGCUAAGUGUGGAAGAGAAGAAUCCACUAAGGCAAGUCAAGCAUGCUGGGCAAGUGUGGCGGCCUAUCCUGUCCUGGGGACUUGGUGCUGGCCAGGCCCCUCUCUGGUUGCUCUCCUCCCUGGAAGCUGACCCCUGUCCACUGGACCCCUUUAAAGGUGAGGGUCAGCGUUUCAUGGUGGAAGUGGAAUAUUCACCGAGACCCCCCUGGCUUUUCUCGGUGCCUACAUUUGCCCAACUUCAGACUGGCUGUGUCUGGAGAGCUUGCCGUCUUCCUCUUCCAUGGUGGAGGUUCUGCUGUUGCAAAAUGACGUGCAAAGAUCCCCAUGUGCAGGAGCACAUGGCCCAUGGGGUCAGAGGCCUCCACAGCCACCUCUGAAGGCUCAGAAGGAUCAGUCCAGUGCACAACCCCUAACUGAGCUUCCCGGACCAGGCAGACUGUCCUCUUGGGUAAAGCUUCCAUGUGAAAAAAACAAAUAGCAGCAGAUAAUAACAUCAUCAAAUCAGGCACUUAAAACCACUCCGCAGAAAUUCAGGGUUAGCCAGAUGGAGUUCCAAAAUGAGAGGGCCCCUGGGAGUGUCUUCUCCGCCCUCUCCAAGGAGAAGCUUCCGGCUUCUCUUUCCACUUCUGGAUGAUUUCAUAAACGGCGGUAACCUCUGUUGGAAGGACUUUGCUUUCUAGCUGUCAUUUUUAAAAAUAAUAUUUGCUUAUUCUUUGAAGGUUUCGAACAUUUAGACAAUGCAUAUUGAUUAUGUCCAUCACCACUACCUAACGUGUCUCCACCGCACCUCACUCCCAAGUUCAUGUCCUCUUUUUAUUUUAUUUUUAUUGCUAUUGAGAGCCUCAUAUCCAGCUAGUGCUGUGCACAUGUACACGGGUAUGUGACCAUCCACUGGGGCCUGAAUAAUCUACCGGUGGCCACGUCCCCAAAGAGAGCGACUCUCCCUUCCUCAGCAGCCCUCAUCUCCCGAUAAGUCCUCCAGCAGACACAGGCCUCAGAGGACCCUCCUCCAUCCCUACUGGAAUUUUUACUGGCCUGCUCUCGUGCAGAUCUUGUUCAGGAAACCACCGCUUCCGUGCGUUGGGACAGACACGACUCUGGUGGCAAGGAUAUGAAGAGAAGACAGACUGACACACAGACGGACACACAGACAGACACGGGCCGGUGAACUGGGCCAUCUGCUGGAGAAACCAGAACAUGCUGGACGCUCAGCGUGUUUAUCACAUGGAGUUGGACAGGAGGAGACCUGAUGACUUCGUCUGUUAAGAAAAUGUCACCCUUCUAUGAUCUGAACAGCAGCUGACUACUUAUAACCAGGCUGUCCCUAUCCAUCAACCAAAAUGACUUUUUGAUGAGGAGAAAGUGAAAUGUGUUCUCUUGUGCAGGUGCAUCUCUGAGUUUCAGGCCAAGGUCUGUUCUACAGAGCGAAUUCCAGGAUGCCAGGG